UCUCUACAGCUGCUGCUGGUUGUGAUCUCACUGCUGAGCUGCACAACAAACCAAGCCUCUCUGACUGUGAGUCCCAGC